rnacentral:lncRNA from 1 species
AAAAUAUUGAUGAGUAUCAGGUUUUUUAACUGCUCAGAGGAAGGGGGGUGGAAUGCACAAUCUUAAGAAAAUGACAUUAAUCAGAAGAACUGUCCUUUAUUCUAACACUCACUGUUCAUAAUGGAGCAGGAGAGCAGCACAGCAAUGGAAAACUCGCCUUUACCUUCCUGAUCAUCAUCUCAUCCUUGCUGUUUGUGUACAGCUCCACUGUGUUCACCUUCUUUGUGGUCUACAAGUUAAAACCAAAGCUGCUGAAGAAAAGUGGAAAAGACCAAAGAACAGAGAACUGUAAAAUAAAUAGUGGACGAAAAGUUUUUCAAGCAAUAGCCCAAGAACUUCAAAAGCAGGGGUUUGCUGAGCACUGCCAACAGCCUGAUGACUUGGAAGCUGACACUGUUUACCAGAACAGAUGAGCACGUGCAGCAGUUCAGAUUUGUUCGGUGUUUGUCGUGCAAGCAAAGGGGCAGGUGAAGAAGUGAAGCUUCUUCACAGACCUCCUUUGCUGUAAAGGAAGGUGAAGAACACUGCCCUGCAAGGUUUUCUUGAGAGAAUCUUCUAAACAGAUCACCAAACCCAAGGGCAUUGUGCAUUACACCUGUGUUACAUAUUCCAUUGUCCAUUCUGCAGGAGUGAAAACCGUGGGGAAAAAAGAGUUCAUCUCUCAUAAGACAACUGCUGAUGCUUCAGAAAAGUCUCCUUUUUCAGUUUAGAUUUAAUUCUGUGUCUUUGUUUUCUUUUUACAUAAACUUAUAUGUAUUCCUUUUACAUGAAUCGAGCACUUGUGAAAGAUGUAUGAUAAUUGACAGCAACA